rfam:Hordeum vulgare subsp. vulgare, WGS project CAJW01000000 data, contig: morex_contig_169857
AGGUAGCAUCCAAAAGAUUACAUGCCUGCCCGGUAUAGUCUUCCUAGAGUAAAAUUGUCAUUUCCUGCUUGUGGUACUGUUAGCAGGUUCUUCAAGUCUCAAAUGAUAAGACAACUUC